GUAGGUGGCAAGCGUUGUCCGGGAAUUAUUGGGGCGUAAAGCGCGCGCAGGCGGUUCUUUAAGUCUGAUGUGAAAGCCCACGGGCUCAACCGUGGAGGGUCAUUGGAAACUGGAGAACUUGAGUACAGGAGAGGAAAGCGGAAUUCCACGUGUAGCGGUGAAAUGCGUAGAGAUGUGGAGGAGCACCAGUGGCGAAGGCGGCUUUCUGGUCUGUAACUGACGCUGAGGCGCGAAAGCGUGGGGAGCAAACAGGAUUAGAUACCCUGGUAGUCCACGCCGUAAACGAUGAGUGCUAAGUGUUAGGGGGUUUCCGCCCCUUAGUGCUGCAGCUAACGCAUUAAGCACUCCGCCUGGGGAGUACGGCCGCAAAGGCUG
rnacentral:rRNA from 1 species